CAAUAUUAUUGCAUGUGCCAAUCAUUUUGUUGGAGAUGGGGGCGCUGAAAAGGGUGUAAAUGAGGGGAAUACCGUAUCAUCAUAUGAUGAUUUACAGAGCAUCCAUGUGGGUCCAUAUCUGGACUGUAUUUCUCAGGGGUUUCCACUGUUAUGGUAUCGUAUUCCAGUUGGAAUGGAAGUAAACUUCACGGUGACCAUUCCCUCUUGACGGAAAUUCUACAAGAUAAACUAGGUUUUAAGGGUUUUCUGAUUUCUGAUUAGGAAGGAAUCGAUGAACUCACUGAACCUCAAGGCUCAAACUAUCGUUAUUGUAUUUCUGCUGCUGUUAAUGCUGGAAUUGACAUGGUGAUGGUAUCUCACAGAUAUAAACAGUUCAUUGAAGAUUCGACUUUUCUGGUUGAAUCUGGGGAGGUACCAAUGUCCAGGAUUGAUGAUGCUGUUUAACGAAUAUUGAGAGUGAAAUUUGUUUCUGGCCUUUUCGAAUAUCCCUUCUCCAAUCGAUCUCUGCUAGAUAUAGUUUCCUACGAGGUAUAUACUGCAGAAUUUGGCAUCUGAUGUUCCCACCUAAAUCAUAGAGUCAU